CUCGUGUCUCUUGCCUUUUAAAUAAAGUUGUAUCAUGUAGGCUGUUACAGAAUAGCGACUAAAUAUUUUCAGUCGAAUAAGAAGAAGCAAAGGUGGCACAACGAAAAUGUUAAAACUUCGAUUUUCUUCAAUUUCGAGGAAAUAAAACAUUUGAAUUGAAAUGGUUAGAGAGAUGGCAGAGUUUAAGAUGUAGAAACAGGUACAUUUUCCACGUUAAAUGUUAUUUUCUGUUACCAACUCGUCGAAUUAAACUAUACGAAAACUUGAACAAAAGAUUCAUAGACGUCAUUUGCUUCCUUUAUCUUCAUCUUGAGAACGAAACCGUACGAUAUUCUUCAGAAGAAUCCAGAGACAUCGUCCUACCAGAAACAAACGUCAGCAAGUUAAACGCGAUCUUGAAGCGCCGCUUAUUCACCGAUGAAUCCAACAGCAAGAGAAUGGAGUGGAAUUCACGAACGCUAACGUAGAAAUAACCACGAGACGUUGGUCGAUUUUAGCUUCGUAGCAAACUAGUUAGCGAACUUGAGGUUGUUCGACGAUUGUUAAGGCGUACAAAACGUCUCACACAACUUGAACGGCGGAUGAUUCUAAGACAAUUUUAUCGUACGACAGUGAAAAAAAGUAAACGAAAGAUUUGUUAAACAACAGUUGGACGAUGAUAUUUGGCGUCGUUGACGUUUUAAAUGAAGACCAAAGAUGGAACGUUUAACGAAACGCUUUAAAAGCCAACCAUCCAUUCAUUCUGACGUUGAGGAAGAGGUAUCUGGAUGAAGAAUAGGAUCGUGGUGAGAGUAGAGCAUUAAACGUGGCAUUAAGCCAGCGAUCGCUUCAUCGGACAGAGCGAACAGGCUGCUACAGGCAGUAUAAUGAAUCAUUAAUGUCCAGUUAUCGCUGAAAUCGAUCGCGAGAAGCGACGAAUUCAACGAGCUAAAAACCAGGGAUAAAAGCCAGCCUCCUUUCUCGACGCAAGAUUCCAAAUUUCAGAGUAAACAACGCGACGAAAAAAUAUCCCGAAAGAAGAAGUUGGAGUUUGUCAUUCAAUAGCAGUAUCGUCGAUGAUUAAUACCCUUGAAAAUGUCCCCAAAAACUAGACUAACCCUCCAACUUUCGCUGCGUCCCGGGUUCGAAAGUCAAAGCCGAAGGGAGACAUUGCGUCCAAGGAAACGAAGAAAAAUGCGAGGAAAGCGAGGGACAGUGGGAUAUGUAUGAGGUGGACGGUUAAAAGGAAGGGGAAAAGAAAGGGAGAUCCAUUAUCGUCGUUGAUGACGCGACUCGGUAUGGAGGAGAAACGUAAAAGCUAGAAGCGUUGGUUAAAUUUGAUUUAAAAUAAAAGUAAAGAAUAACAGGUAGAAACGGUGUGCUGCGUGCAACGAUUUUAAAUAGAAUAACGCAAUUUAAAAAUAAUUUAAUUCGUUAUAAAUGCGUACCUCCCCUAUGCUCCGAUUAUAAAUAACAAAACGAGGACUUUAUUCCUGGAACUAAACAUCAUCUCCAUUGAGGAUUGUUAUUUCAGUAAACAUCUAAAUAUUAAUAAACUCAUUUUGUAAUUUUGUACGGCUCUGAUAUAAUCGACAGGGUAGAAAUAGAAAUUAUUAUUUCAAGAAA